AGGACGAACGCUGGCGGCGUGCUUAACACAUGCAAGUCAAGGGGGAGUCGCAAGACUCAACCGGCGAACGGGUGCGUAACGCGUGAGCGACCUACCUAAUUGUGGGGGAUAGCCGGCCCAACGGCCGGGUAAUACCGCAUACGAUCGGAGAGGGGCAUCCCUAUCUGAGGAAAGCCUUCGGGCGCAAUUUGAGGGGCUCGCGGCCUAUCAGCUAGUUGGCGGGGUAACGGCCCACCAAGGCGACGACGGGUAGC
rnacentral:rRNA from 1 species